rnacentral:rRNA from 1 species
AUUGAACGCUGGCGGCAUGCUUUACACAUGCAAGUCGAACGGUAACAGGCCGCAAGGUGCUGACGAGUGGCGAACGGGUGAGUAAUGCAUCGGAACGUGCCCAGUCGUGGGGGAUAACUACUCGAAAGAGUAGCUAAUACCGCAUACGAUCUAUGGAUGAAAGCGGGGGACCGUAAGGCCUCGCGCGAUUGGAGCGGCCGAUGUCAGAUUAGGUAGUUGGUGGGGUAAAGGCUCACCAAGCCAACGAUCUGUAGCUGGUCUGAGAGGACGACCAGCCACACUGGGACUGAGACACGGCCCAGACUCCUACGGGAGGCAGCAGUGGGGAAUUUUGGACAAUGGGCGCAAGCCUGAUCCAGCAAUGCCGCGUGCAGGAAGAAGGCCUUCGGUUGUAAACUGCUUUUGUACGGAACGAAACGGCUCUGGUUAAUACCCGGGGCUAAUGACGGUACCGUAAGAAUAAGCACCGGCUAACUGCGUG